CAGUCGCCACGGUAAUACGUAGGUGGCAAGCGUUGUCCGGAACUAUUGGGCGUAAAGGGCUCGCAGGCGGUUUCUUAAGUCUGAUGUGAAAGCCCCCGGCUCAACCGGGGAGGGUCAUUGGAAACUGGGAAACUUGAGUGCAGAAGAGGAGAGUGGAAUUCCACGUGCAGCGGUGAAAUGCGUAGAGAUGUGGAGGAACACCAAUGGCGAAGGCGACUCUCUGGUCUGUAACUGACGCUGAGGAGCGAAAGCGUGGGGAGCGAACAGGAUUAGAUACCCCCGUAGUCCCUGUCUCUUAUAC
rnacentral:rRNA from 1 species